rnacentral:rRNA from 1 species
GAUCUUGCGGGAUCGUUGGAGCCACUGGUGAGAUACCACUCUUGUAAUGAUAAAAUCCUAACUUUGAACCGUUAUCCGGUCAGAGAACAGUUCCAGGUGGGCAGUUUGACUGGGGCGGUCGCCUCCUAAAAGGUAACGGAGGCGUGCAAAGGUUCCCUCAGGCUGGUCGGAAAUCAGUCGUAGAGUGUAAAGGCAUAAGGAAGCUUGAUUGUGAGACCUACAAGUCGAACAAAGACGAAAGUCGGCCUUAGUGAUCCGACGGUUCCGAGUGGAAGGGCCGUCGCUCAACGGAUAAAAGUUACUCUAGGGAUAAC